GGGAAGGUAGCUCAGUGGUGGAGUGCUUGCCUUGCAUGCAUGAAGCCCUGGGUUCAAUUCCUCAGCACCA
rnacentral:tRNA from 1 species